GUCUUCUCAUAUGCUUCCUAAAAAUACAUAACAUGUGAGUGUUUCAUGAAAAAACCACCCUUUUUACCAUAAUUUUAAUUUAAUAUGAAACAGUUUUUUUAACAUAACUUUUUAAAUACAUGAUAAAACUAAUGUAGCCACCCUGGUUUGGCAAAGUAAACAAACCGAACUUUUUGCGGCGCACCUUUUUCGAUUUUUCUCACUGUUUUGCGGAACGGUCAUCUCUAAUUCGGCAACCAGUCGGACCAGGAAGUUUCCGCGGACACGGGAGUGCAAAAUGCGACCGAAAAAACGGCACAAACGGAUCUUGUGAACAGUGCGCAAAAGCGAAAGCUUGACGAUAGCAUCCAUAACCUCGAAGAGGAAUCGCGUUCGAAGCACCCGUACAACACCCGAGCGGCGGCGGCGGCACUUUCGUCAGCAGACCAGGUUCCCGGUAGCAGCAGCAGCAAUGGCAACAACAACGGUGCAUCAGUGGUACUGAAUGCAAACAUCCCAACCAGCAACCAGUUCGACGGGCUGGAAGAGGAGCAGGGUGACGACUCAAUUUCGUUGCGAUCAAUUAUCACACCACCUCCGCACUAUGGUACAUUGGGUGGCCAAGUUUCAAAAAAGUGACCUUCUCCAAAUAUUUUUUGGUAUUUUUUUCUCGAAAGUAAACAUUCUAACUAAGAAAAAUCCAAAUUUUCAAAGCUUUAAGUUUGUUCAUUACGGAGAUACGCAAGCUGAAAGUCAAAAAAUGGAGUAAAAAACAAGCGUUUUUCGUAAAAAAGGCUGAUUGUUUAAUUUUAACAUAGCUCAGCCAUUUUAAAUGUUUUAUUAGGACAAAUAUACAUCGUUGGAAAGGUAAUGAGAUAAGCUUUGAAACUACCCUGACUGAAAAGUCCGUCGGACGUCCGUCGUUUGUCGUCCGUGCAAUCGUACGACGUCGCUCGACAAUGUCGUGCGACUUUCGCACGAAUGUCAUACGCUUUUGCACCAAAAUGUCGUAUUUGUCGUGCGAUCGAUGAUCAAAAUUGUACGACAUUGUCGUACGACAUUCGACCGACGUCGCACGGUUUUGUUAUUUAGAAUGUCGUGCUAUUGUCGUGUGCUGUCAUUUCGGAUUUUUGGGUUAUGUUGCAGUUAAAAAAACUGUUGUUUUGUUUUUAUUGAUUUUUUUUUAUUCCAGCUGUCAAAAUUUCACAUAAAUAUUUAUUGUACACUUAAUUUCACUUGCGUAUCGCCGAUUCUUCCCCAACUUGGCUUCCUUCUGGAUUUGCCUUGACCGGCUUGGGUGUUGGUGUUCUUCUGAGGCGGCCGUGGCAGCAUCUUGGUCGUGUUGGACUUUUGUUCCUCGACGAGCUGAUCAAAACCCGGAUGCGACGCCUUGGCGACGAUCUUGGAUCUCCGACGGAUUGAUGUUUACCGGAGUACGAGGAAACGUGGGUUUUGUGGAGUACGAGUACGAAAAAAACGGAGCUGCUUCCGUGGAUUCUACGGAAGCCACGAGUGACCACACGGGAACGCAUUCCGGUUUCCGGCAGAAUCAGAUUGGAAAAUGUUUGUUGCCUGAAAAAAUAUAUCAUCAAUCAACAAUUGGCAAGAAUUUAUAAAUUAAAUUCAGAUUUCAAUAAUAAUAAUAAUUAUAAAAUUUCAA